rnacentral:pre_miRNA from 14 species
UUUUUAAUUAACUCCACUGCAAGUGAAAGACCUCUGGUCUGGGGAGUCCCUCACUCAAGUCUCGGGAUGAUGCGACCCCCCAAGAACUCACACAAGACC